GGGGAUUUAGCUCAGUGGUAGAGCGCUUGCCUAGCAAGUGUAAGUCCCUGUUCAGUCUCCA
rnacentral:tRNA from 1 species